rnacentral:rRNA from 1 species
AUUGAACGCUGGCGGCAGGCCUAACACAUGCAAGUCGAACGAGUGGCGGACGGGUGAGUAAUGUCUGGGAAACUGCCUGAUGGAGGGGGAUAACUACUGGAAACGGUAGCUAAUACCGCAUACCAUCAGAUGUGCCCAGAUGGGAUUAGCUAGUAGGUGGGGUAACGGCUCACCUAGGCGACGAUCCCUAGCUGGUCUGAGAGGAUGACCAGCCAAACUGGAACUUGUACACGGUCCAUACGCCUACGGGAGGCAGCAGUGGGGAAUAUUGCACAUGGGUGUCAAGCCUGAUGCAGCCAUGCCGGGUGUGUGAAGAAGGCCUUCGGGUUAUAAAGCACUUUCAGCGGGGAGGCGUUACCCGCAGAAGAAGCACCGGCUAACUCCGUGCCAGCCGCCGCGGUAAUAC